rnacentral:misc_RNA from 1 species
GACGUUAUUAGAGAGUGAGACGCAGGUGGCGAUAGGAAGGGCGGUGUAAGGGACGCCACAGAUAAGGUCGAAGGGGGUGGAGGGAGAGACGAAGGAGAUUAGGGUUUGGGAGAUGCGGCGGAGGAGGGAUGGGUAGGAGAUGAUGAGGCGCAGGUCGAUGUAUAUUGGGGAGGAGAUGCCGGAUUUAAGCUUGAAGCUGCCGAAUUUAACGGCGGAGACCUCGUGGAGCUGGAGGAUGAGAGACUCCAUUGAUGACAUCUUUGGAGGUAGAGAGAGUGGAGAAGUGAGGGAAGUGAAAGUGGGAGUUUC